UUUAAGCACACUCAUGAGUUUCCGUGUCCAAUUUUGAUCCUCCGUCUUAUUUGAAAAUUUGUUAUGAGUAAUAUUUUUAUUGUUAUUAGAUAAAAAUAUGAAUAAUACUUUAUGCGUGACUUAUGUUUUUUAUUUUUUUUAAAAAAAUUAAAUAAGAUGGACGAUUAAAGUUGAACACGGAAACUUAUGGCUGCGUUUAAA
rfam:Oryza barthii chromosome 12, whole genome shotgun sequence.